UCCCUGGAGGACGAGUGGUCAGGCUUUGGCGCUCUCACGGCCACGGCCCAGGUUCGCUUCCCGGCCAGGGAA